GACGAACGCUGGCGGCGUGCUUAACACAUGCAAGUCGAAGAUAGUGGCGAACGGGGGAGUAAUACGUGGGUAACCUGCCCGCCUUUGUGGGAUAAGCGUUGGAAACGGGGCCUAAUACCGAAUAAAGGGGGAUGGGCACGCGGCCUAUCAGCUUGUUGGUGGGGUGAUGGCCUACCAAGUCGGUGACGGGUAGCCGGCAUGAGAGGGUGACCGGCCACAUAGGGACUGAGAUACGGCCCAGACUCGUACGGGAGGGAGCAGUGGGGGAUAUUGCACAAUGGGCGAAAGACUGAUGCAGCGUGUCCGCGUGAGGGAUGAAGGCUUUCAGGUUGUAAACCUCUUUCGCAAGCGAACGGGUAGGUGGAGAAGAAGCGCCGGCUAACUACGUGCCAGCAGCCGCGGUAAUAC
rnacentral:rRNA from 1 species